rnacentral:rRNA from 1 species
UACGAAGGGGGCUAGCGUUGCUCGGAAUGACUGGGCGUAAAGGGCGCGUAGGCGGUUUGAUCAGUUAGGUGUGAAAUUCCUGGGCUUAACCUGGGGGCUGCACUUAAUACGGUCAGGCUUGAGUGUGAAAGAGGGUCGUGGAAUUCCCAGUGUAGAGGUGAAAUUCGUAGAUAUUGGGAAGAACACCGGUGGCGAAGGCGGCGACCUGGUUCAUUACUGACGCUGAGGCGCGAAAGCGUGGGGAGCAAACAGG